rnacentral:rRNA from 1 species
UACGGAGGGGGCUAGCGUUGUUCGGAAUUACUGGGCGUAAAGCGCACGUAGGCGGACUGGAAAGUUGGGGGUGAAAUCCCAGGGCUCAACCCUGGAACUGCCUUCAAAACUAUCAGUCUGGAGUUCGAGAGAGGUGAGUGGAAUUCCGAGUGUAGAGGUGAAAUUCGUAGAUAUUCGGAGGAACACCAGUGGCGAAGGCGGCUCACUGGCUCGAUACUGACGCUGAGGUGCGAAAGCGUGGGGAGCAAAC